rnacentral:rRNA from 1 species
AAAUAUUUGUUUCCUAAAACUUACUACUACUUAUUGUUUUAUUUAAAUCCCCUGUUUAUAUAUAGAUUUAACUCAAAAUAGAGCCAAAGCAAGAUUCAAACUUUCCCUAA